rnacentral:rRNA from 1 species
GACGUAGGGCGCGAGCGUUGUCCGGAUUUAUUGGGCGUAAAGAGCUCGUAGGCGGUGUGUCACGUCGGCCGUGAAAACCUGCAGCUUAACUGUGGGCGUGCGGUCGAUACGGGCAUCACUGGAGUUCGGCAGGGGAGACUGGAAUUCCUGGUGUAGCGGUGGAAUGCGCAGAUAUCAGGAGGAACACCAAUAGCGAAGGCAGCUCGCUGGGACGGUAUUGACGCUAAGGCGCGAAAGCGUGGGGAGCAAACAGG